UCCGAACUCCGGAUUCGGAAAAUCCUGCGCUGGUUCCUCACCACACGCACCCUCAGGUGGAAGCCUAUGAAAAUGGGAACCUGAAAAAGCGCACCGCUAAGUGGACGCGGACUGAGCUGUGGGACUACUUAUAUUGGACGCAUGCAUCUCAAUUGGCAGAACCUUCAUCACACCUGGAGGUCAGAUCUUGCUGCUAAAACUUCUGGAAAACCCAGAUGCCACUCCCAGCUACUCAGGAGGCUGAGGUGGGAGGAUCUCUUGAGGCCAGGAGUUUGAGGCAGCCGUGUGCUAUGAUUGCACCUGUAAAUAGCUGCUGCAUUCUAUUCUGCUCUCAACAUAGUGAGAGCUCAUCACAAAGAAAAAAUAUAACUUCUGAAAAAUGUAGCUUUUAGCAUUGCAACUAAUACUAUACAGAAGUGGAUUUAUGUCCUCUCCUCUCAAAGCUGCUUCAAUCAAUGGACAAUACUAGUGAGAGUGACACCAUACGAUCUGAAGCUGUAUCAUAAUUGUAAACACAGUUUCCACCUCACUUUCUGAAACAACCCUUGGAGCUGAGAACCACAAGCCCAGACACGAACUAUAUAAGUAAAGCAACCUCUAGGUGAUUUUGGCUGCAGCCAUUCCAGUCUUCCUAACUGAGGUUCCAGACAUUGUGAAGGGCAGAAGGCACAGAAGGGUGGUGUUGGUCAAGCCUUGUUUGGGCCAUAGCAGAAGCCUGGAGGUAAGGAGAGGUUCCCAGAAGAACAAAGGAUUAGUCACAGCAAACAGGUGGGGCGGGGGAGGCCCAGGAGGGGAAUGCAAUGGAAGCAAGCGCCUGGAUAUUCAGAACUAAGAUCAGGAUGGAGGGAGCAAGGGCUGGGAUAUCUGGACGCUGCACAUCUGGACACCUGGGUGAAUGGACCAAAGAGAUGUGUCCAGAAAGGCAGAGGGUGGGCCACAGCAGACCUGGGAGCCUUUGGAGUCUCAACUUCCUUUCAUGCUUUUCCUUUCACAGGGAAGCCACAGAAGGACUAAACCAAAAGGGGAAAGGGCUGGUGUCUGGGGCUUCCAGCCCAAGGGAGGUGACACUGGGGAGGGGUAGAAGGAGCAGUGUAUAGGCUCAGCACCUGUAGCUCAGUGGUUAGGCAGCCACAUACACCAGGGUUGGCAGGUUCGAACCCACCCAGGCCUGCCAAACAACAAUGACAACUACAACAACAAAAAAAAACAGGCAUUGUGGCGUAGUUACUGCAGUCAUGGCUGUAGUCAUAGCUAUGUGGGAGGCUGAGACAAGAGAAUCAUUUGAGCCAAAAGAGUUUGAGGUUGCUGUGAGCUAGACACCGUGGCUCUCUACCGAGGGUGACAAAGGAAGUCUCUGUCUCAAAAAAAAAAAAAUCUCAUACCUGCAAAGACUUUUUUGGUUGGGUUUUGCUUGUUUGUUUUUUGUUUGUUUGGUUUGGUUUAGUAUUUUUUGCAGUUUUGGCCAGGGCCGGGCUUGGACCUGCCACCCCUGGUAUAUGGGGCCGGCACCCUACUCCUUGAGCCACAGGCGCCACCUGCCAGUAUCUUCUUGGGGACAUUUUUUUUAGCUUACUAGCAUUUCAUAGUUGCAAAAUGUUAUAAUAUGUAUAUUCUUUUGUAUCUUGCCUUUUUAAAUGUAUGACCCAAAAUACGAUUCCCCGUGCCAUUACUUACACCGAAAAUAGCAGUUUGAUGGUUAUGUAUGGAUCUUCAUGACUGUGAGUAGUUUAAGACUUGUAAAAUAUAUCACCAAAUUGGCAUUUAAAAAAUAUAUAUUAAUGUAUUAUCUUAUAUAUAUAAAUGUAUUAUCUUAUUAUUUGUGUAGGAGAUGCCUGUUUCAUCAUAUCCCCAGCAGCACUGAGUACUGGUUUUUGUUUUUUUUUGGAAGUGUUAGUUGUUUGCUGAUAUUUCUUUAGAAAUCUAGUGUUUUUCUUAUCAAUUUAUUUCUUUUUUUUAAUAGUAUUUUGUUGUUGUUGUUGUUGUUGCAGUUUUUGGCCAGGACCAGAUUUGAACCUGCCACCUCUGGUAUAUGGGCUGGCACCCUACUCCUUGAACCUACUCUUAUCAAUUUCUAUUGGGAUAUAUAUAUAUACACAUACAUAUAUAAUAAGGAUACCAAUCCUCUGUCUUUUUUUAGCAAUUUUUUUUUGUCAUUUUAUAAUUUGCUUUUAUGGCUAUGAUCUUUUCGAUAGCUAUCUAUUAGUUUCUUUGUCAUUUCAAACCCUGCCUUUAUACUUAGAAUGUCUGCUUCUCUCAGAAAGCAGACACUACAGUGGUUUACAUAGCAUGGUGUUUGAUGUCAGAAAAGCCUGGAUUAGUAUUUAUCCCAUAGGAAUGGAUACUGAUUGUUGCAAAACUUAAACAAAAUAAUUUAAGUUAAAAAAAUAAGCACUCACACCAUUUCUUUUAGUUCUGUUUAGGAGAAGAACAAAUUCAGGCUGAGAGUGCUGGCCCGCGCCUAUAAUCCUAGCACACUAAGAGGUUAAAGUGGAACGAUCUCUUGAAGUCAAGAGUUGGAGACCAGUCUGAAUAAGAGAUUGAAAAUGAAGAACAAGCAAUUCUUGAAAUGACAUGAACUGGUGUUAACAUUGGUCUGGCAGAGGGAUGGAAUCGAAACGAUCGGGGAGAAAUUACUAACUUUUUUCUUUCCACACCUCUGCAUUGUUGGAAGGAAUUGUUUGUGCAAACCCUUACUUUGCACUAAUAAAAGCUCAAACCCGACCAAACCUUGCUAUUUCUCAUAAACGAUACGCUUGAAUUGCACACACACUAGAAACAAGUGAACUUGACGCUAUCAGGUAUUUUUUUGUACAGUAUUGGUUUGCUGUCUUUUUCUUUGAGUGUUUGUUGAACCUCGUAAAGUCUGCUCCCCCUGUCCCCUUUAGUUUGCUCUGCCUGUCCCUUUCCUGCGGGUAUUUUUGCUGUGGAGCCUGCCAACUCUGUCCUGCCCGCUUAUCUCUUUGACUCCAGUUUGGAGCCUGAGCUGCUUCUGUGGGGGCAGCUACUGUGUGCACUCUCGACCUUUGCCACUUGCCGCGCUGGUGAGAACUGGAGGAGGAUGUGGUUUAGCCAGAAUGUGACACAAGCGUCCUUGUUUCUGGAAUAUACCCCGAAGUACAAGUCUCAU